AUGGGUAAGAAGAGUUUUGUGAAACCUCAGAAAUCAGGUCCACUAUGUGACCAAAGGAAAUCUUGAACCUGACAGGUGAGCUGUUGCAGAAGUGUAGUACUCCUGUACCUGGACCAGGAAAAGAAUGGGAAGAGUACAUGGAGACCCUGGCUCUAGUUGAGAAAAAUACAAAAGAAGUAAAAAGUUUUGUCUGUUAUUUUUGAUGGGAAAAGGGAGGAUUAUUUCCCUGAUUUAAUGAAAUGGACCUCUGAAAAUGGGGCUUCUGUUGAGAGUUUUCAAAUUGUUAACUUAAAAGGAGAGGGUAUUUGUUUGAGAUCAUCAAGAGACAUCAAGGCAGAAGAAUUAUUUUUAUGGGUUCCAGGAAAGUUACUAAUGACUUGAAUUUGCUAAGAAUUCAGUAUUAUGACUUUUGUAUUCUCAAGAUCAAAUUCUCCAAGCUAUGGCAAAAAUUGCACUAGCCUUUCAUCUGCUGUGUGAGAGAGCCAGCCCCAACUCUUUCUGGCUACCAUACAUUUAGACCCUCCCCAGUAAAUAUGAUACCCCUCUCUACUUCGAAGAAGAGGAAUUGUGAUGUCUUCAGUCGACACAAGCCAUCCAUGAUGUCUUUAGCCAGUAUAAAAACACAACAAAUCAUUAUGCCUAUUUUUAUAAAAUCAUCCAGAACAAUCCUCAUGCCAACAAACUGCCUUUGAAGAAUUCUUUCAUUUAGGAGGACUACAGGUGUGCCAUCUUGGCAUAACCAAAUCCCUACAGAGGAUGGCUUCUGAGUGACCUUGGUUCUGAUUCUUUAUGGGACAUGUACAAUCAUAUCAAUGGCAUGUUCACAACUGGCUAUAACCUGGAAGAUGACCACUGUGAGUGUGUGACUCUGCAGGACUCUCAGGCUGCAGAUCAGAUUUACAUUUUUUUUUAUGGCACUCAAUCAAAAGCAGAGUUUGUGAUCCACAGUGAUUUUUUUUUUACUUUGACAAUAAUUCACAUGACAGAGGGUAAAUAAAGUUUGGAGUGAGUAAAAGUGGUGGCAGUCUAUGGCAUGAAGGCUGAGGUAAUGGCUCAGGCUGGCAUCCCAACAUCCAGUAUGUUUACAUGCAUUUUACUGAGCCACCCAUUUCUACCAAGCUUCUAGUAUUCUGCAUGAUUGAAGAGGAAGUAAAUGAGCAUUUGCUUGGAGACAGCACCAUUAACAGGAUCUUCACUCUGGGGAACUCGGAUUUUCCUUUCAGCUUGGACAAUGAGGUCCAACUUUGGACAUUUUUGGACGAUAGAGCCUCACUUCUUUUAACAACAUAUAAAAUAAUUGAUGAAGAUAAGAACGUCUUGAAAACAAAACAAAACUGACCUCUUUUUCGGUGCCACAAUGGCCAUUAAAUUGCAUUUGAGUAAGAAGAAGAUUUUGGAAAAAGCAGUGAAGAGUGCAGCCAUGAAUCAAAAGUAGUACCACAAGCAUAUGGAGGAGAGGGCACCACUGCCCAGAUACUAG
rnacentral:lncRNA from 1 species